rnacentral:rRNA from 1 species
CGUACACUCCUGCGGGAGGCAGCAGUGGGGAAUAUUGCACAAUGGGCGCAAGCCUGAUGCAGCCAUGCCGCGUGUAUGAAGAAGGCCUUCGGGUUGUAAAGUACUUUCAGCGGGGAGGAAGGCAAUACGGUUAAUAACCGUGUUGAUUGACGUUACCCGCAGAAGAAGCACCGGCUAACUCCGUGCCAGCAGCCGCGGUAAUACGGAGGGUGCAAGCGUUAAUCGGAAUUACUGGGCGUAAAGCGCACGCAGGCGGUCUGUCAAGUCGGAUGUGAAAUCCCCGGGCUCAACCUGGGAACUGCAUUCGAAACUGGCAGGCUUGAGUCUUGUAGAGGGGGGUAGAAUUCCAGGUGUAGCGGUGAAAUGCGUAGAGAUCUGGAGGAAUACCGGUGGCGAAGGCGGCCCCCUGGACAAAGACUGACGCUCAGGUGCGAAAGCGUGGGGAGCAAACAGGAUUAGAUACCCUUGUAGUCCCAUGA